rnacentral:rRNA from 1 species
UCCUGGGGCUGCCAUACAAAUUACCAUAAACUUGGUGGCUUAAAAAAACAAACACUUAGGGUGGGGGCCUGGUUAGUACUUGGAUGGGAGACCACCCGGGAAGACCAGGUGCUGCAGGCG